AUAAAUAAAUAAAUUUUCCUUUUUCUUAUCCCUACCUUCCCUCUCCUUCUUUUCCUUCCUCCUUUUCCCUCCCCUUUCUCCUUUCUCCCCGUCGACUGCCCUCUCCCUCUCACCGCCUGCGUGCUGCCCAGCUUACCGCCGCCGUCCAGCAGCGCCUCUCCCCUCCUCCUGCUGCCGCGCGCCGCCUUCCCCUUCUCCCUCCUUUUCGCGCGACACCGACGAACGACGAAAGAGGCUGCGUCGUCGAUUCAGCCUCCUGCCGGCGUCCUUUCGGCAAUCUGAUGCCGGAUUUAGACUCCUCACUCCCGAAAACCCCCGGAGCAAGUCUCCCUCCCCAGUUUCCUCCACCGGUAGCUUCAGAGGAGCUUCAUUGGAGCAGCCCAUUUUCGGCCCCGAUCCGGUGCCUUCAGGCGAGUUUCCGGGCAAGACUCUCUUGUUUUCGGAUCCCCCCAACUCGAGCUUCACGUAGGCGCUUUCGGAUUUAAGUUCCGACACCAUUGCCCUUGCCAUACUGAGAACUCGAGCGACUGCAACUGCAGCAUCGGCCCAAGAAGGCCAAGAUGAGUUUUAUGCUCAGACAGCCCCUCCGGCCCCAGCCCGUGGUACCAGGAGGCGAGGUAGGCUUCGAGCAGCAGCCCAACCAAAUCAGGGUGAGACUCAAGAGGCACACGGUGUUGGUGGAGUCCCAGUGGAGGCAUUUAUAAUCGGUAUGACCGGGAUGCAGAGAGCCUUAGAAUAGUUGUUGGUCUUCCAGUAGCAGCAGGCUGCCCAAGGUUCAGGAAGCCGCGGUAGUGGGUCCGGUAUCAGGAAUCCAGACGAGGUUCCAAUGUCGGAGUACACUAAAUUGAGACCCGUGGAAUUUGAUGGGACAGUUGAGGACCCUUUGGACUUCUUGCACGAGGUCGAGAAAAGGGCAUUUGACUUGCACUGUUCUGACAGGAGGACCAUCGAGAUGGCCGGGUUUUCUUUGAAAGGGAUAGCAUCUCAGUGGUUUAGAGACUAUAUCCGCCCCUUUUGGAUGGAUUGUAGUGGAGACAGUUUAAAGACAGGUUUGAAGAGUAUUUCAUCCCUUUUAGCAUGAGGCAGGAGUACAUGGAGAGAUUUGAAAGGCUGAUUAAUGGAGACUUGUCAGUUGCCGAAUACGCUAGGGAGUUUAUACAGCUGAGUAAGUAUACGCCCUAUGCUGUAAGGACCGAGGAGCAGAAGAACAGUAAGUAUAUUUCAGGACUCAGUCUAGAGUUUGUCUCCUUGGUUUAGUCUAGGAGGAGUAGCUUCCUAGAAGUGAUUGACAUGACCAGACAUAUGGAGAUGACCCUACGAGGAUUUGGCCAGGGGACUGAUAAUGACAGGAAAAAGAAGAUCAUGAUUGAGGGUUAGUUCAGUGCGCUACCAGUUGUACCGUACUACGGCAGUGGAGGCUACUCUGAAGGUUCCGACCAGCAAGUCGGGCAAAGUCUACCAUACCCACCGAAAAGGUAGACAUAAUCGGAAGGGUAGCAGAGGAUUCAGACCAGGACAAGGUUUCAGUGGCAAUGUGCAGAGUUCAAGCUACAACAACUCUAGUUUUGGAGCCAGCACCUGUCAGGUGUGCAGCAGGUCACAUCAGGGACCGUGCCUAGCUUCCAGCGGAGCCUGUUUUAAGUGGGGUGAGAUGGGUCAUAUGGCUCGAGCAUGCCCUCGCUACUUCAGCCAGCCAGCUUUUCCUCAGGGCUCAUCUGCCAGUGCGACCUGACCAGCUUUUCUUGCAGCUCUAGGAUAUUUUCAAGGUGGAUCUCAGUUUGUCGGCCAGCAGGGCCGUGGUUUUGGAGGUAGAUCUAUGGGAGGCCGAUAUGGGGGCAGAGUUCAAAGUCAAGCUUCAGGCUCUCAGCACUUAGGCCGUUGGCAAGCUAGAGUGUUCACCCUCGCUCAUCAAGAUGCGAGAGCCUCAAACGUUGUGGUGUCAGGUCAAAAUCUCUUGUAAGGUCUCCAAGCACAUGUGUUAAAGCUUGCUAUCUUUGUAUGGGUGAUACAACCUCCUAUUGAAGUAUAUGAAAGAUCCAUUUGCACCUACUAAAGCAGGUGGGAUGUCCAUAAAAGCCAAAUAAUUUCUAUGGGUCACUCGGAGUGGGCAUUACUUAAAGAUUGGAUAAGGUGUCCACUUAACAAAAUCUUAUAAGGUUUGAUCUCUAAACUUUAAUAGAGUCAAUUAGUGGAGAAACUCUUAAGGUGUGAUCCUUAAAGACUAGAUGUAGGUCUUAAUACCAAAGCAUGAUAAAUCAUAGUAUUCAUUCUCUUUGACUCUUGCAUUUUAUUAGAAAUCUAAUUUACUCAACACCCUCAUCAGCUAUCUAUUAUGAAGAACAUGAAAGAAACUAGUUGAAGACAUCUAUCUGCUUUAAAAUGUGCAUAAAAUAUUUAAGGCGUCUGCUUUCUUUCACUCGUUACAUCAAAAAGUUUUCUUUAGUUGAGCUUUGAUUUACAGUAGUUAAAGUCUCUAUUGGAAUAGUUGGCUUAUUUCUACAGGUAAAUAUCAAAGAGAUUUUCAAUAUAGUUAGGUAUCUGCGUAGUUUGCUUGAGGCAACUAAUAAAACUCUUGUGCAAUCUCUCUAAGAGCUAUUGAGUUGUCAAAUUGCAUUAUCAAUAUAAUACCAAUCUUAAUAUUUUUAACUGGUCACAUCGCUUGAUUUAAAUCUUGAGAGUUUUGUUUGAAAUAAUAUAGACAACCAGCUCGAAAAUUUAAGAACUCCAAUUCACCCCUUAUAGACAUCUAUUCCGUACUUUCAUAUUUGAUUUUAAGUUUGGGCUUAAGAUUUAGACUUAUUUAUUUUAAAAAUAAUUACACAUAUAAAUAAAUAAAUAAACUUUUAUAAUCAGUUCUAGUUUCAGUUUUGCAGUUUAAGAAAAUACAUGAUGGUUCCAUAUUUUGUGAAGAACUAAUGAGAUCCAAAACCGCAUAUGGUCUAGUUUGGAAAAGUCAAAAAUCAAUGAAAUUUUUUGUUCCGAAUAAUGUCGGUUCAGUUUUUUUACUAUGAUUCAUAAUCUCUGAGUCCCACGCUCAACCCUAGUUACAAGUGCUAUUAGUGGUUGAGAUUGCUCUAUUCUUCAAUUCAUUGAUUGCUUUUCUAAUUUGGAAAAAAAGAGAAUAAAUAUAUUAUGUGGUUGAAGAAGAAGAAUUAACGUAAGUGAUAACCUAAUAAUUUAGGAAUAAUGGCCCCCUACCUUUUCUUUUGAGGUACUCAAAUUAAUAGUAUAUAUAUAUAUAUAUAUAUAUAUAUAUAUAUAUAUAUAUCAAUUUGAAUAAUUUAUGGUUGGCUUGUUUGUACCAAAAAAAUAAAGUAGGAAUAAUCCAUAUCUAGCCCCCUACCUUUUUUUCGGAUGAAGUUCUUUAUCUUUAGGACAUAUUGUUACUGCUAUAGCAAUUCAUUUUAAGGUUGAUCUACAAGAGGUUGCGGCUAUGCAUUCUAUCCUUUUUACAUACUUCACCAAAAAUAUCUUUAUGCAAGGUGAAGUUAUUUAUCCUAACUUUUCUUUGAGAGAUGCUAGAAGCAGGUCGGUUUGGACCCAAGGAAAAGGUGAUGACAGUGAUGAUGAAGAGGAGGAAGGAGAAGGAGUGCAAGAUGAGGGAGGACAACCAAGUGUUGCUCAAGUGGGUGCAUUAGACCAUAAUCAACCACACAUGCUCUAUUCCACCAACUACUUGAUGGUCAAAAUUUCUUAAGAGGCCAAAUUCAGCAUCUUGAUGAUAGACAAUCAAGAACGGAAAGGGAGAUAAGAAGAUUGACUUAUAAGUUUGAUAGUUUCAUGGAACAUCAAGAGUUCUUUGUUGAUUCUCCACCACCAUCUCCCUACGGAUGAGUGAGGUAUGCUUUCUUACUUUAUGAUCUUUCAUAAUUCUAUUCUAAAUUGCUCAAUGAUAUGGCUACAUUGAGGGCAAUGUAGAAUUUAAGUGUGGAAGAGGUCUCAUGCAUAAUCAUGUUAGGAAUUACAUUUUAGAUUGUUACACUUUAAAAUUGCAUUUUAAAUUUCAUAUAUAAUGUAUAUUAGUUAGUUAUAUGGUAUGUUGAGUUGUUGGUUUGGUUUAAGUAGUAUUUGAAAAAAAACUGAUUAUUGGUUUAGUUUUAGGUUAGUAAUCUACAUGAGUUUUUAUAAAUACACAAUUUUAAAUGGCAUUAUGAAAUUUUCUAACUUUGUUGACUUAGUACUACUUUAGUUUAUUUUGAUCUUGACUUUUUAGAGCCAAUUAAAAAUGGAUAAAUGAAUUAUUUUUCUUGCCUAAAUUGAAAAAUAAAUUAAAUGGAAUAAAUCACAAUAAAAUCUAAAAGAAAUAUAUUAUUAGUAGAACACAUUUGAGUGAGUAUGUAUAGACUCUUUUAACUUGAUAAUUCUUUGCUAUGUUUUAAGAUUUGGAAUGUUGAUUUGGACUUAAUUUUUGUACGUUAAUCACUUAACUUUUGAUGCAAGGUUAGUAGCCUAUUCAUUCAAGAAAACUAUAGCCAUAAUACAAAAAUGUUAGUGAAUCAAUAAAGGAUGAGGAAAAAAAGAAAGAAAAGAAAAGCCUUUUAUCAUACAUGGGUCGAGUAAGUCGUGGGUUAGGUGGUAUGCUCCCUCCUAACACUCGAUUCGAAAGGUUAAUUGUAUGAUAAAUGGGGUGGAUCGAGUAAGUCAUGGGUUAGGUGGUAUGCUCCCUCCUAGCACUCGAUUCGAAAUAUUUUACCCAAAGCGAAUGAAAAAAAAAUGAUGAAAUGAAAUGUCGAAUGGUCUAACUAAUUAAUGAUGUGUGCUUCAUUUUGUCCAUUAUUUGUUUAGGCUGCUUCCUUAAUUCAUGAGUUAUGUGAUUAAUAGGCUUUUGAUAUUUGUUAUUUGUUUCCUUUUUCAUAACUUAGAAUUUGAAAGUUUCAUUGUCUACACUACAUUACUCUUAAAUUUUAAUAUUUAUUAGUAGUUUAUAAUAUAUAAAUGCAAGGCUUGAGGAGUAACGUAUUUACCCAUUUUUCUUUGUUUCUUAGAGUUAAGUCUUAAUAACCUUUAUUAGUCCUUUGUCAAUAAUUUGGAAAAAUGGAUUCUUGCUAUGUAUUGUGUACCUUUCUAGCACUUGUUUUGCUUGAGGGCAAGCAAAAGCUGUGUGGGGGAGUUUGAUGUAUCCAUAAUUACACUAUAUUUUAAUAGUAUUUUAAUUAGUAUUGGCGUUUAAUUUAGUCCAAUUAGUUCUACAUUUGGUUAAUUUUAUGAUAUAUUUGUUAUAUUCACAUAUCCCCUUGACUUUAUGUCUUGAGGGUUGUUUUUAGUGUUUUUAUGAAGUGUCUAGGCUUAUAAAUGAAGAAAAAAAUGAAAUUCGGAAGUUUAGAAGACAAAACAAGGCAAUAUCGGGCAAGUUUGGGUUGUCCUAGGCCGGGACAAGGGUGCUCCAGCUGGGAGAAAAACAUUAUAUCCCGUGUGGAGGCUGUUGAGCCCGGGCCACGACAUGUCUCCUUGAAGAGGCGGAUUCGACAGUUUUGACAUGGUUCGGUAAAACAGGCAUAAAUUCCUAGUUUUAAGUCCAAAUGUGGUGAUUCAAGUGGCAUUGGAAAGAUAAGAUAUAAAGCUACAAUUUUCAUGUCUCUAGAGCAUUUCCUAAUUCAGACUCUAUCUAUGCCUAAACUGGGUUGGAAUUUGCUGCUGAAUAGUUGUGACCCUCUGUGAACGUCUUUUAGUAGAAUGGUUGUAGAUUCUUCAUUUCUUAUCGAAAGAGGGUGAUUCAAAAGGUUAUGUCUUCUAUAUUCAAAGGGCUACAACUCUCUUACGACUUAUUUCUCCAGAAGAUGCAAGUUUCAAGACGUUAUGACCCUUGGAAGUAACUACCAAUGCUGGAAAUUACAUUUUAGAAUAGUUUUGACCCUUUGUAACGAGGCAUGAUGCCUAAUCCGAAUCUCUAUCUAUAAAUAGGCCUUGUAACUUCAUUUGUAGACAUCAUAGAUAUUAUCUUGGAUAUUCUAUUUCAAUAUUUAUCAUAUUUAAUCAAAUACUUCUUCUACUACAA